AAACCGGUUUCCCCAACAGCCAGGAUAUGUUUAUCACCCUGGACCUGGAGCCAGUAACCCCCGAACUCACCCAAGGCGUGCUCCCAGACCCUGAGGGCACAAGGGACCUCUGCUGCAAAUGUUUCUCCUUCACAGAGGCUAGUGAAGAUUAGAAGGAGAAAACGGCAGACUUGGGAUGACAUGUUCACGGAGCUCCAGAUGUCCUCCCACGCUGACAGAGCACAGCAGAAUGCGUGGAGGCAGUCAAUGUCAGACUACAGAAAAGCACAGUAUGAACGAGAGGAGAGGUGGCGGGCUGAAUCACGGGAUGAACAGAGCAAGUGGCGGGCUGAAGAUGAUAGGUGGCGUCAGCUUGCAGACAGAAGGCAAGAGUCGAUGCUCCGGCUGCUGGAGCGUCAAACUGAUAUGCUCCAGCGUAUGGUUGAGCUGCAGGAAAGGCAGCAGGAGCAGAGACUGCCGCUACAGCCCCUGUGUAACCAACAGCCCUUCUCCCCAAGUACCAUAGCCUCCUCACCCAGACACCCAAGAACACGGUGGGGGGGGGCCCCCUCCGGCCACCCAGUCACUCCACCCCAGAUGAUUGCCCGAGCAUCAGAAGGCUGGCCUUCAAUAAGAGUUAAAGUUUUAAACUGCAGUGUGUCCUUUUCCUUCCCUCCUCCCCCACCCCUCCCGGGCUACCUUGGCAGUUAUCCCCCUAAUUGUGUGAUGAAUUAAUAAAGAAUACAUGAAUGUGAA